ACUGGAUUAAGCGGGUAGAGCCACUGGGCCAAGGACAGAGCCCAAGGUUGAGGCCUAGUUAUUUGGGCCUGGUUAGUACUUGGAUGGGAGUCUUUGUCAGCACAAAGAAAGGCAUCCGAAGCUGCCACCCUCUUGCUGGCUCCAAAGAGGGGGACUGGGAGGAAGGUGUUGGCGGGGGGAAAGAGCUCAGGAUUUUCCUCAGAACAAAUCCUGGUCCCAUGCUGAACACAGGUCACCCAGGAAGGACCGUGAGCUCCGGGGCUGACAGACUGGUUUCACAUCCAGCUCCACAACGGACUACGUGACCUUGGGACACAGCCGCGUGCCGCUCCGUAACCCUCUGUGACGGGCAUAGUCAACGUUGUAUCUCCCCGUCAUCCUGCCGUCUUGCUGGGGCUCUUAGCUCAACCGCGUGUCUGCGAGGCUCCUCUGUUGGCAUGUGGGAGCCCACCUCGAGCACUCUCCCUACUGUUUGGGUGCCAUGGCAUGAAGGCACCAUACAAGACUCCAGGGGCCUGCAGACCCCAUGCUAAUGUGCAUGAAUAAAACAUGGGCGUCCUCAAGCUCAAAAUAUCGCAAGUAUUUGCUCUGGAUUUGUUCUCACUUCACUAUGUGGUAAGCAGCGUCCAGCUGGGGCCCUGUGGCCUCCUGUUUGGAUUGUUCUAGUGUGGCUGGGCUCCCUCAGGAGGCCGAUGGUAUGGUGGGGGGAGGUCCAGCCACGCCAGCGAGGGAGCUUCUCUGUGCACCUUCCCUCCCUCCAUGCUCCCCCACACG